rnacentral:misc_RNA from 1 species
GUAACCCUAAAACUCAUGGAUCUCUACAUUCCUGCCACUGUGAAGAUAGCCAGUCCAGUCUGGCUGUACUGUGGAUAUGACCUGGAAGGAGAUGACCUUUACUCUAUGAAAUGGUAUAAAAAUCAUGUAGAAUUUUACAGAUUUCUUCCAAGUGACAACCCACCAGGACAGAAGUACGAUUUGGUCGGAGUUUACGUUGACCUCAAAAAAUCCAACCAAACCCACGUAUACCUAACUCAAACAGACCUGAACACCGAUGGGCUUUAUGGUUGCGAAGUGUCAACAGAAGCGCCCUCUUAUAGGACCGUGCAAGCAGAAAAAAAGAUGAAAAUUUAUGUUUUACCCAGAGAAAACCCUGCCAUCGAGGGUCUAGAGCCAACGUACGACAUAGGUGAUGAAGUGAACGUGACUUGUAUCUCGAGCCCUUCAAAACCAGCAGCUUGGUUGUCAUGGUUUAUUAACGGAAAGCCGGUUGAUCCAACUUCUCUUAUGCCAUAUCGAUAUCAGCGCCACCAAGAAGGAUUACAGAGCACUAUGCUAGGCCUUAAAUUCAUUGUAACUUUUAAUCAUCUGAAGCUUGGUGUAAUGUCCCUAGGCUGUACCGCUACAGUGUCUCAAGAAUAUUACUCACGAAGUGGAGAGAUUGUGAUUGGCGGACAGUUUAGGACCGAAGCAGAAACCUAUAUACCAGCUGAAACACGGCCAACUCUGUCAACAGGUAAACAGGAAUAUAAAGUAGGAGAGAUCGUGGAAGUCAACUGCAGCUCUCCCAGAGAUAAAACAGACAAGUCAGUUGGCUUGGUUCGUCAAUGAACAGAAGGCCAAUCAUCUCCACGUCGUUAACUAUUCACCAAUCGUUUAUAAUGACAAUACAGUGUCUUCCCUGAUUGGUCUAAAGUUCCGUUUGAGCCAUAACCACUUGGUGGCAGAAGGCUUAAGAAUAAAAUGCACCGCUAGCAGAUCUACUGUUCUGGACAUUAGAAGUCAGGAGAUAGUAGUCGGAGGAGUUCAACAUAGUUCCGGUCUCCACGUGCUUGCCAGUGACGGAAAAGAAAUGAAGGCAGGAAGACUGGAGAAUACAAUGUUCUGGAUCUGGCUAUUGUGUAUAGCCUUUGUCCGAUAACCGUGUGCAGUCCGAAUUUAGCCAGUGAUUAUGUACAUAACAGAAGAUAAAACGUCGCCAUCUUGCUGACACAGUAAAUGAAGAAGUUCGUGGACAAGUAAUUUAGAUUUCGUCCCUUUUCUUUUCUUCACAUAAUUCUGGGAUUAAAUUCAAACUCACCAAAACUUUCCAUUAGAAUGAAUAGUGACGAUAAUUUUAUAUUUUUUAUAUUUGGUUGCUAAGCUGUUUGGUUACCAAGAACAUUAGCUGUGAUAUGGGCUAAAGAACGCCAGCAAGUGACAACAUUGACCAUUACAAGUUUCAAUUAGAAGUGCUUGAUCUUUUUUUAUUAUUAUUAUUUAUUAUCAAGUAUGAACAGAAAUAUUGUUGUGUUUAUUAUCUAGUCAUAAAUUGGAAUAGAAUGUCAGUCAGCCGGACCCGAAAAUGUUUCGUAUGUGAAGAUGAUUUUUUUCCAGCUUCUUUUAACAUCAUCAAUAUAAGAAGACGUGUUUUGCUGAAACCGUAAUUAAUGUCCAAUAAUAUUGUGUUAACGAAAACGUCUACUUUUCAUUUGUUUUCCGGAAUAACGUAGUCGAAAUAAAUCGUCGUUGUCACGUGUAAAUUUCGCUUUAAAGUGACGUUAAGGUUGCUGGUGUCAGAAGUAAGAAUUAAUGUGAUAACUAAUUAAAACGCCAUCUGGUGAAAAGGAGCGCUUAGACUUGAUGUUUUUGAGAAUGUUAAACGUAUCCGAGUUAUCUGUUCUUUGACGUCAUAUUACGUCAUUAAAUGGAAAUACAUGAAGUAUAUGUUGUUUUUGAUUUGUUUUGAUCUUGAGUUAACUCAGUUCAAUUCGCUUUUUAUUAUGAAGAUGAUCCAUUACGUGUGUAUGUGUAUGUG